UACAGAGGGUGCGAGCGUUGUCCGGAAUCACUGGGCUUAAAGGGCGCGUAGGCGGGUUCGUAAGUCUGUGGUGAAAGCCCUCAGCUUAACUGGGGAGUGUCGUGCGAUACGGGCGGACUGGAGGCCAGUAGGGGGAUGCGGAAUUCCGGGUGUAGUGGUGGAAUGCGCAGAUAUCAGGAGGAACACCGGUGGCGAAGGCGGGUCUCUGGGCCGAUACUGACGCUGAGGAGCGAAAGCGUGGGGAGCGAACAGG
rnacentral:rRNA from 1 species